CACACAGUACAUUCACUGCUGCAACAGAAUCCAGUGCUCGCUGCUCAGCUUCCAAUGUUACUAUAAGAGUUAUGCCCUCCCUCAUGUACCCUACAGAAAUCCUGGCCCAACAGUGCUUUCUUCUUACAAGGCUGUCCAAGCCUGGUAAUGCCAGAACAUAGUGGACGCCCCAAGAAGGAACUGGCACAAGAAGAAAAAGCAGGGCUGGAACUACGGGAUUGACUCACUGUGUCCAAGACACCUCCCAGAUUCCUUUGGGCAACACUCUCAAGAACAGCCUGCCAAGCAGAACAUGGAUCAGCAUGACAAUGUCAACCUAUUUAUACAAACGUUUUAAGGCUAAGUCGACUUUUCAGUCUGGGUGUAGAGUGGCUAGGAGUGCCUAAAGAGGGACAGCUGCGCCUGGAUGGCCCAUAACUGUGAGCUGGAGAUACAGCCACCAUGUAAGGGUCACCUAUACCAUGAAGAUUAAAUGAAUAACACAAAAUAAAGAAGUAAU